rnacentral:rRNA from 1 species
AUUGAACGCUGGCGGCAUGCCUUACACAUGCAAGUCGAACGGCAGCACGGGAGCAAUCCUGGUGGCGAGUGGCGAACGGGUGAGUAAUAUAUCGGAACGUGCCCAGUCGUGGGGAUAACGUAGCGAAAGCUACGCUAAUACCGCAUACGAUCUACGGAUGAAAGCGGGGGAUCGCAAGACCUCGCGCGAUUGGAGCGGCCGAUAUCAGAUUAGGUAGUUGGUGAGGUAAAGGCUCACCAAGCCGACGAUCUGUAGCUGGUCUGAGAGGACGACCAGCCACACUGGGACUGAGACACGGCCCAGACUCCUACGGGAGGCAGCAGUGGGGAAUUUUGGACAAUGGGCGCAAGCCUGAUCCAGCAAUGCCGCGUGCAGGAUGAA